UGCAGCUCAACUUGGAGGAGAAUGCAAAGCGCUAUUGGACAUCUCACAGUGGUUUAUGUGUGUUUCUAUUUGCAGCACUGGGGCCUCGGUCCUAGAGAACCAGCCCCAUCCCUCUGGACUUUCAUCUCUGGUUGUCCCUGACUUGGGCUCUGCCCUGCCAGCUGAGUGGAAGACCCCUGGAGAGAGUCCAGGAUUCCAAGGCCUCCAUAGUUUGUACAGAGGUCACCAGGGGUGUGAGCUCAAAGGGAGCCAGGAUGCCGUGCUUGCCUUUCAUUGUCACAAGCCGCUGGGUCUGAAUGGGGCUGCGACGCUCCAAGAAAGAAGCCGUCUUUACUGCCAGUCCUGGCUGGGGUUUCAGAAAGAGCUGCUCAGCAAUCGGAGUGGUUCUGGAGGCCACAUCUACUCUUGCUGAGCCCGAGACAGUCUGCGGUACCUGGGUGUCCAGAAUCACAUCCUCCCAUUCAAGGUUGUGCUCAGCCAGGACUUAACUCACUCAGGAAAUGACACGUUAUCGCACCUUGGUCUGCAAACAAAAGCUGGCUUUACUUAUUUUCCUUGUGAAGACAUCCGCAGUCAUUGUUUUUACUUUGAAAAGAAAAAUAACAGGAAGAAAAGCCCACAAUAUUUUUAUUAGCUGGUGUGGGAGAUUUAGAUACCUUUAAUGAUAAUGUUGGGUUUAAAACUAUUGGGGAAAAAAAUCUUGAUGCAUAAACCAAAAAAGAGAGAGAGAGAGAGAAACACGAAAGAUGAACAUGCAAAACCUCACAAAUACCUCUUACCUCUGCAAAACCUCACAAACACUGAAGUGGCCAGGAUCUUGUCUGUGGGGUCCACCUACUGUGUCCAUGCCUCACCCAGCCACACUGCGUGGGUCCUGCUGACGAAUGAAUGAAUCGCAGUCCAGAUCCCUGUUUUGGGCUGUGAAUUGGCUUUCUUGGGCGAUGACCUCAAAUGGAAGGAAACUGUAAAGAUUGUGGUCAGUGCUUAACAUAAGUCAGUCUCCCCUCCAGCCCUGAGAGGUAGAUGACUGAUCCUUGUUUAUAGAGAGGCUGAUAAAACUCAGACAGGUUUGGGCAACUUGCCCAGGGUCAACCAGCUGGCUGUGGCUGGGCUGAGAUUUGGUUCUAGGACUUGCCCCAUGGCUGCACGCCACUCUUUCUACAGAAGAUGUCAGGGAGAGGAGGAAAUGACACUGACGGACAGCCAGGUGUUGGAAAUGCCUCGGUGUCCCCAUUCUGAGCCUUAACCCACAGAUGGACACAGACAAGGAAAUAGACAAUUGGCUACCAGGGAGCUGGUGGUGGCUAAGACAUGCUUGGUUCCUGCCUGCAUGGAGCUCAGUUUCUAGUGGGUGGACGAGAUACAAACACUGAGUCAAGUGACUUAUUUCAACAGUGAUGAGUGCCCAAAGGGAGAUGAAGGGCAGGGGUGGUGUGUGCAUGCGCCCGUCAGUACGCUGAGCAAGCGUGGCCAAGGGUCCAUGGAGGUGUCAGAGAGUUCCAGGGAGUGAUGGAGGAAGCUGGGAGAAGAGUAAGGCACAGGAAGCUCUGAGCUCAGAGAGGAGGGAGGGAUGGCCUAGCAGGCAUCCUGGACGGGCAGAGUCUGUGAUGUUGGGACAGUGACAGGGGUGGUCAUGGUGACCUUGGUGACAUACCAGGACCUGGGGUCUCUCUCUUUAAGGUUCAGAAUGUGGUGGGCUUCUUGUCCCCUGGGCACCAGAUGGGAUUCCAUAGUGACCAACCCUCUCUAGGAUCAAAGAGCGU
rnacentral:lncRNA from 1 species